GGGUCAGUAGGUUGGUCGUGCCACCGGUACGUACUGGUCUCACUGAUUCCUCCUUCCUGAAGAACCGUAAUGCCAUUAAUUUGGUGUUGCGGGGAAACAGGACUGUCACUUUGAAAAAAUUAGAGUGUUUAAAGCAGGCUAACGCUUGAAUACAUUAGCAUGGAAUAAUGAAAUAGGACGAUCGAUCCUAUUUUGUUGGUUUCUAGGAUUGACGUA
rnacentral:rRNA from 1 species